rnacentral:rRNA from 1 species
CCUACGGGUGGUAGCAGUGAGGAAUCUUGGUCAAUGGGCGGGAGCCUGAACCAGCCAAGUCGCGUGAGGGAAGACGGUCCUAUGGAUUGUAAACCUCUUUAGGCGGGGAGCAAUGCCGGGCACGUGUGCCCGGAGGGAGAGUACCUGCAAAGGCAGCACCGGCUAACUCCGUGCCAGCAGCCGCGGUAAGACGGAGGGUGCGAGCGUUAAUCGGAAUUACUGGGCGUAAAGCGCUCGUAGGCGGUAUGUCAAGUCAAGGGUGAAAUCCCCGCGCUCAACGUGGGAACUGCCUUUGAAACUGGCAAACUGGAGUGUGUGAGAGGAUAGUGGAAUUCCAGGUGUAGGAGUGAAAUCCGUAGAUAUCUGGAGGAACAUCAGUGGCGAAGGCGACUAUCUGGCACAUAACUGACGCUGAGGAGCGAAAGCGUGGGUAGCAAACAGGAUUAGAUACCCCUGUAGUC